rnacentral:rRNA from 1 species
AUACGUAGGUGGCAAGCGUUGUCCGGAAUUACUGGGUGUAAAGGGCGUGUAGGCGGGAAAGCAAGUCAGAAGUGAAAUCCCAUGGCUUAACUGUGGAGCUGCUUCUGAAACUGUUUUUCUUGAGUGCUGGAGAGGAAAGUGGAAUUCCCAGUGUAGCGGUGAAAUUCGUAGAUAUUCGGAGGAACACCAGUGGCGAAGGCGGCUUACUGGUCCAUUACUGACGCUGAGGUGCGAAAGCGUGGGGAGC